rnacentral:tRNA from 1 species
GCCGGUGUGGUGGAAUGGCAGACGCGACGGACUCAAAAUCCGUUGGUAGCAAUACCGUGUCGGUUCAAGUCCGACCACCGGCACCA